AUGAGAGAGCCCAACAAGGAAGGCCCAAAUACAAACAAAGCGUAUGGGGAAUUGGCCACCGUAAGUAACUCCUCUUACUCUUCCUCCGCCGUGGUGGGAGGACCUGGCAGGCCAUCGUUGCUAAGAACGGAAACCAAGGAUGGUGGUGGGUCUGUUGAACCACCUUUGGCAGAGCGGAAGCAUGUGCAGCUCUGGCCACCCACCAAGCCCAAUCAAUCUCAGUGGUAAGAAUCCAAGCAUCAAAAUUUCUCACUCUCUCUGCUCUGGUAGAUAAGCAUAUCUCUAUCUCUAUAUAUAAAGCGAAGCGCCUGUUACUGUUCAUUGUUUGGUCAAAUUUUCGAACUUCCCAAACUGCCGAUGGUGUGGGUGAGGUGGCAGACAGCAAGGAGGGUUAGGAAUGUAAAUGCAGAGAGAAUGGUGAGGUGGAAGAUCAUGGAGAGAGCAAGAGAAGAGACGGACGUCUGGCUUCUGCCGACACCAGAAGCGAACAAGGGAGAAAGCAAAAAAACAGAAGGAAAGAAAAGAAGAAGAAGAAGAAGAAGAGGGAGACGGGAAGAAAUUUACUGUUGUUCAAGUCAGCACGGGUGCAUGAUGGUCGAUUUGAACAGAAAUCGAGUAAACUGAUCAUCCCAGAUUCUGAUGCUGUAGAAGCUUUCACCUUUGUGUAGAAUCGGCAACAAGAUGGAGCUAUUACGACAAAAGUAAGCUCUUGGUUAGAUUAUACCCACAAUUGUGCAUUCGACCAACUGCGAGUUGUCAAAGUAAGCGACAUUUCCGGCAUGACAGCUGAACUAGCACUCUAUCAGGUUUCUGCUUUUAAAUUCAGUUGUGCUUGAGAAGAUGAUUGCUGAUGAUUGGUUUGAUACCUUACUUGAUGCAAAAACUUCUCUGUUACAUAAACUUUUUUGACAAUUUAAUAUUGGGAUCUCUUCUAUUGUCCAAAAUCAUGACCAGUUUUUUACUUUAUGUUUUAGAAGGGUAGGUAGGAUGCACAAGUGAACGCAGAAAAAAAUGAAACCUUUGAUGAGUUUUUGUUAAAUUAGUUUAUCUUCUAUUUGCAGAAACAACAAUGCAUACAUUCAAGAUUAUGACAUGAAAAUCAGUUGGUAAUAUACUGUGUUAAUUAGGGUACUGCGAUCAGUUAUCAAAGAGAAUUGAAUUUUGCUUCCUCAUCUCCUAUAAUUUUAAAGCAUCUAUUUGAGCUGCUUAGUGCAGUGUUAUUUCUUUGUUAUUGACAGGUGAUGUCUUCUGUGGAGUUGGUCCAAUAGCUAUCUCUGCAGCAUAGAUUGUAGGACGAGUUUAUGCUGCUAAAUAUCUGCAAGGAAAUAGUGGUCUCAACAAACUCGAUAGGAAGAUUAAGGUAUGAAAGCAAUUAUUGCAGUAACAUAUAAUCACAAUGCUUUUUUCUAUUUUUGAUUUAGAGAGGAAUCAGGGGAAUUUAGAAGUGGAAUACUACAUAACUGUUAUUUAUCUGGAAGAGAGAUUAUGUGAAUAUCAAAGCACAGCUAAAGUAAAACCCCUUUAGGUGUAUCAAGGUCAAAACUUAAAACACCUUUAUCUAACCAAAAUGGAUUACAAAGGCUAAAGUAAAAACACACUAUUAAUUAUGGUAGUGCUUUUGAAUUGAAUUAUAAAUAUGUUUUAUUACACAUUCCCAUGAAAUAGGUUCAGUUUAUCAUUUCCUCAUGUUAUUGAUAAAUGAUAUUUAGCUCUCUACUGUUUCAUUACAACAGCAUCCAUUUGAGAAAUUCUUUGAUAAUAGUGACCGACUUUUGCCUUACUAAUUUGCAAUGAUCUCUUCAGGUAUAUGCAAGAUUAUCUUCCCUGUCAGUGCUUCUACUCCUACUGGAUUGUAAAUGAAAGAAUAUCUCCAUUUGUAAAUGAAAGAUCAGUUUGUGUUUUCACUUCCAUUUGUAAUAUCUUCUGUAUAUACAAUAAAAUCCAUUUUCAUUUACAUGAUUUGUUAAAUAAUCAUAAUAAAUCAAACAUAACUUAAUCGCCGCAUGCGCGUGCAGGAAGGCUAGUAGUGCAUAAUGCAUGAAUUAGGCAUUUCAAAGAGUUCCAUUUGUAGCUUUAGUGGGUUCUGAAUGGCAAAACUCAGGACCACAAAUUAAGCAUCUUAAUGACACUUGUUUGAGCUGAGUAGGUUUAGGUGUGUAUGUAUAUUGCUGAAAUUAAGAUGCUUUUAACAUACAUAAGUGUAUAUGGAAGUAUUGGCUGUUGAAAGCUUUCGUAUCCUUGCUGCUUACUAUGUUAUUUCUCUUAGGCUUCUGUUUCGCUAUCGUAUUUCUUUCAGUUUGAUAGGUUGAUCCCUUUCUAGACAGCCUGAUUUUUCUUUUGGUUAGUUGAUAAGGUCAAAUGUUUGUGUAUAAACUUGUUUAGGUGUGUACUUGUAUUGAAAUGUGUCUGAUUAUGUAUCAUCCGUAUCUUAUUCUGGAUUUUCCCCCUAUAAUAUAUAGAUGCAGAUGGAGUGUCAGAUAACCAUGCACAUCAGGAAAAGAGUUGGCAGCUCCUCAAGUCAACCUAGCGAUGCAACUCUUUUUUUAGAACCCGCUUCUCUACCUCUAAUAUAUGCUGUUUACAACACAAGUUCUAGUAUACAAUCCGAGUUAUUGUCAAGUGAUCUCUGCAAGAUGACCUCAAAUCUCUCAUAAGCAAUGGGGAUGAGUUCCAGUUGGGAACAGUACCGAAAGUAGAUGGAUUUCACAGCUUGGAAAGCAUAGUGAGGAUAGAGGCAGCUAAAGCUAGAAUGUAUCAGAGUAAGGCAGAUUGAGCUUGGAGAGGGGUAGAAGAUUCAGGCAAACAUGGAGAAAGUGGAGGAAGAGUAGGUGGAAAGUUUUCCAAAUAGUGUUUGCAAGGGUGAGAGAGGAAAAGUGAGGGAAGAAACUAGAGGAGCUAAAAAUAUUAGAAGGUUCACAUUGAGAUCAUUACAACAUGAAGACUAUGCAAGCUGAGAUUACUGGCUUGUUGGAGAAAAUGGAAGGUAGGUGGGAUAGUGGCAUCAUUUCUAUCAGAGGUAUUAGGAGACGGCCAAGUCAGAAAACGGUCAUCAAUGGGAUUGGAGAGAGGAGCAAUCACGUCAUCAUCUGACUCCAUUUGGAUGGUCUCCGGUUUCCAAUCCUUACCAAGGUCAUCUUCUGAAGUCCACAACACUGUCUCAGUGGUGAAACCAACCAAUGCUAGUCGUCCCCCAAGGUUCAUUAGUCGCCCACAAGACUCAUCUGAGGGAAUCUGAACUGAUGUUGUAGAGAAUAUUUCUUUCUCGACAUCAAAUGAUAGAAUCAGUUUUGCAGAGUGAUUCAGCCAGUGAAUGCUGCCUAUGUGCUGCACGCAUAAAUCUUCCUGCACACACACUUGGCUCUCCAAAACCAAAGGAUAAUAUAGUGAUACAUGGUCUUGGUGCGAGUUCCAUUUGAAGCUCCUGGAGUACAGAAUCAAGCCCCUAGCUGAUUGUCCCCUGUAGUGAUCACUGAUCAGUGCAGGACUCCUCCUGAUGGACCAACUCACCAGUGAAGUUCCGGGUCAAAUCAAAUGUGGUGAGAUUAAUAGCCCUGGUGGAGGCAGCUGCUGCCUCUGUUGGUUCAAUUGGCAGAGAGUAAAAUGUCUGACUUGAGGCAGUCCAUGUGCUGAAGAGAAUGAAUAUUGAGUGUCUUCUACUGCUACGCAAUGCUUCAUGUUCUGCUUGGAAGGGACCGAAUUUUAUUAAAAAACCAUUUACUUGCCAUCUGAAAGACGAGGAGGGACUCCGAUGAGCACUUGAUCAUGACAUGGUGCAAUGCGUUGUGAGAUGCAGGUGUAGCUAUUAAAGCUUCUCGAGUUUCCUCCUCCCCUGCAGCUAGAACUUCUGAACUCUAGAAAAGUAGGAACCUUCUUUCAAUCUCAUUUCUGCUGGAAUUUUGUCCAAAAAUCAUAAAGCCAGUUUAUUUUACACAUUUGAAUCA